GAUGAACGCUGGCGGCGUGCCUAAUACAUGCAAGUCGAGCGAAUGGAUUGAGAGCUUGCUCUUAUGAAGUUAGCGGCGGACGGGUGAGUGACACGUGGGUAACCUGCCCAUAAGACUGGGAUAACUCCGGGAAACCGGGGCUAAUACCGGAUAACAUUUUGAACCGCAUGGUUCGAAAUUGAAAGGCGGCUUCGGCUGUCACUUAUGGAUGGACCCGCGUCGCAUUAGCUAGUUGGUGAGGUAACGGCUCACCAAGGCAACGAUGAGUAGCCGACCUGAGAGGGUGAUCGGCCACACUGGGACUGAGACACGGCCCAGACUCCUACGGGAGGCAGCAGUAGGGAAUCUUCCGCAAUGGACGAAAGUCUGACGGAGCAACGCCGCGUGAGUGAUGAAGGCUUUCGGGUCGUGAAACUCUGUUGUUAGGGAAGAACAAGUGCUAGUUGAAUAAGCUGGCACCUUGACGGUACCUAACCAGAAAGCCACGGCUAACUACGUGCCAGCCGCCGCCGUAA
rnacentral:rRNA from 1 species